GCGGGUGUCGUAUAACGGCUAUUAUGUCAGCUUUCCAAGCUGAAGACGAGGGUCCGACUCCCUCUACCCGCUCCA
rnacentral:tRNA from 3 species